AUUGAACGCUGGCGGCAGGCCUAACACAUGCAAGUCGAACGAGUGGCGGACGGGUGAGUAAUGUCUGGGAAACUGCCGGAUGGAGGGGGAUAACUACUCGAAACGGUAGCUAAUACCGCAUACCAUCAGAUGUGCCCAUGUGGGAGUAGCUGGUUGGUGGGGUAACGGCUCACCAAGGCGACGAUCAGUAGCUGGUCUGAGAGGAUGACCCGCCACACGGGAACUGAGACACGGUCCAGACUCCUACGGGAGGCAGCAGUGGGGAAUUUUGCACAAUGGGCGCAAGCCUGAUCCAGCCAUGCCGCGUGUAUGAAGAAGGCCUGCGGGUUGUAAAGGACUUUUGUCGGGGAAGCGGUACCUGAAGAAGAAGCACCGGCUAACUCCGUGCCAGCAGCCGCGGUAAUUC
rnacentral:rRNA from 1 species